UCGACGAAUGAAACCGUGGCUCCGGCAUGCUGUAUCGCACCAAGUUCAGGUGCUUCGACUUGCUGUUCACACGCGGGUAACAACCAACAUGGCUUUCAUCUCAUCGCACUUGAAGAGGUUGCAGCUCUGCCAUAUGUACUUCGAGGGAUGCUCUCUGGACUUUUCGAGUUGUCAGGUGCUAGAGGAGUUAGAGCUGACAAGUUGUUACAUCCACACGAAUAUCUUGUCCCAAUCAAUAUGGCAUCUUAACAUUCCGGGAAGGGGUUUUGAUAUGAGGACCCCCACUUGUAUUUCUGCUCCAAAUCUCAUUGGCUUGAGACUAGCUCCAUGUUGGGGUUUGACUCCUUUUCUUGAUAGCAUGCCGUCACUGGUGACAGCAUCUGUUAUGCUUGAAGAAGGGAUAUGUUUUUGUCUAGAUCCAUCAUGUGUGAGGUGCAAUGGCCAAAUCGGUAAAAGUGACUGCUCUGUGGUCUUCAAACGUUUUUCAGGUGCUACGAAUUUGGAGUUGGCAAUAUCUGAUCCCGCUAUGUUUAUUUUCAGAAAUGAUUUGAAAUGGUGCCCUAUGUUCUGCAAGCUGAAAACGUUGUUGCUCAAUGACUGGUGUGUGAGUUAUGACUUCCGCGGACUAAUUUACUUUCUCCAGCACUCACCUAUUCUAGAGACGCUUACGCUUCAGUUUGAUUCUCUUACUUUUGAGAGAUUUGUCUCACUACGUGUAGCCCUUGUCCCAAGAGGAAAAGGCCGUAACUCAAUUGAACAAUCGUUGAUAUCAUAGCAUCUCAAGGUAGUCAAAAUUAUGUAUGCGCCGAAGAGAGAUAUGAUAGUUGACCUUAUUUUAAAGGUGCUCUCUACCCAUGGAGUACCUUCUGAGAAAAUUGAGUUCGACUAGGUAGGGUUCUGUUUGAGCUGGAGGUGUUCAGUUCAACUGGUCUACUUUGUCUUCCGCCAUGCGAACUUCAGUUCAACUGGUCUCACUCUGGAGAUGAUCAAGUGUCGCCAUGCUGCUAGCGGCGCAGUCUGCUUAUUUCCUCAACUCGGCGAUAGGCCUGAACUAUUUUACCCGCUCAAGAACUAUGCUCAUUUUUAUUAAGACGUGUGUGGAGCCUUUCCCGUGUUGUUUCAGGCUCGGCUAUGACCGGAGCGUAUGAGUCUACUUGUGCAACUGCUAUAUAAUUUAGCCUUAGGGUGUCGUUGAUACCGAGUGUUAUGACCGGCAUAUUAGGUGGGCUGUGGCCCAAGUUAUCUUAUUGUUAUUAGGAGCUUAGCCUAAUUAUCUUAUCGGUAUUAGGGUCGUCUGCUUAGGAGUCAAGUAAACCUCUCUAUAUAAGGAGAGGAGAUGUAUCAAUCUAAUCAAGCAAGAAGUAAUCAGUAUUUUCUCGGCUUCCCUUAGGGAGC